CAGUCGUGGGGGAUAACGCAGCGAAAGCUGUGCUAAUACCGCAUACGAUCUAUGGAUGAAAGCGGGGGAUCGCAAGACCUCGCGCGAUUGGAGCGGCCGAUAUCAGAUUAGCUAGUUGGUGGGGUAAAGGCCCACCAAGGCGACGAUCUGUAGCUGGUCUGAGAGGACGACCAGCCACACUGGAACUGAGACACGGUCCAGACUCCUACGGGAGGCAGCAGUGGGGAAUUUUGGACAAUGGGGGAAACCCUGAUCCAGCCAUUCCGCGUGAGUGAAGAAGGCCUUCGGGUUGUAAAGCUCUUUCAGCAGGAACGAAACGGUCGGCUUUAAUAAAGUCGGCUAAUGACGGUACCUGCAGAAGAAGCACCGGCUAACUACGUGCCAGCAGCCGCGGUAAUA
rnacentral:rRNA from 1 species